rnacentral:rRNA from 1 species
CGACCAUGACACUCUUAAUGAACUGCAUUCCAUCAAAUCUUAGAAGCUAAGCAGGUCAGAACCUGGUUAGUACUUUGGUGGGAAACUGCUUCGAAAUUUCAGACAUUGCAGAGU